GACGAGCGCUGGCGGCGUGCUUAACACAUGCAAGUCGAACGGAAAGGCCCUGCUUUUGUGGGGUUCUCGAGUGGCGAACGGGUGAGUAACACGUGAGUAACCUGCCCUUGACUUUGGGAUAACUUCAGGAAACUGGGGCUAAUACCGGAUAGGAGCUCCUGCUGCAUUGUGGGGGUUGGAAAGUUUCGGCGGUUGGGGAUGGACUCGCGGCUUAUCAGCUUGUUGGUGGGGUAGUGGCUUACCAAGGCUUUGACGGGUAGCCGUCCUGAGAGGGUGACCGGCCACAUUGGGACUGCGAUACGGCCCAGACUCCUACGGGAGGCAGCAGUGGGGAAUAUUGCACAAUGGGCGGAAGCCUGAUGCAGCAAAGCCGCGUGCGGGAUGACGGCAUUCGGGUUGUAAACCGCUUUCGCCUGUGACGAAGCGUGAGUGACGGUAAUGGGUAAAGAAGCACCGGCUAACUACGUG
rnacentral:rRNA from 1 species